UUACCACUCUGGCCUUUUGGCUUAGAUCAAGUGUAGUAUGACAGAACUUGAACCCAUAAGUUGGACGUUGAUCGAAUGUUUGGCGGAGACUUGCCUUAAAUGGAAAGGGACAACCGGUCAUGUGACUGUUAUCUUAUCUUAUCUUAAUAGUUUAACCACUAUUAUGAGGGCACCGCCCUCAUUCUUUGGUUAUCAAAUUUUUGCCGCCCUUGAUCCCUGCGAGCUCUGCUUGCAACUCCAGGGACGUGAUGACCUUGCCACUGCAGUACCGGCUCGUGUCGUCGGGGGAUC
rnacentral:snRNA from 1 species